UACAGGGGGUGCAAACGUUGCUCGGAAUUAUUGGGCGUAAAGCGCACGUAGGCGGUUACUUAAGUCGGAUGUGAAAGCCCUUGGCUCAACCGAGGAAGUGCACCCGAAACUGAGUAGCUUGAGUACGAAAGAGGGUCGCGGAAUUCCCGGUGUAGAGGUGAAAUUCGUAGAUAUCGGGAGGAACACCGGUGGCGAAGGCGGCGACCUGGGUCGAUACUGACGCUGAGGUGCGAAAGCCAGGGGAGCAAACGGG
rnacentral:rRNA from 1 species